GCCCCGGCCUCGCGCAGGCGCAGGCCUCGGAAACGCGGCCGCGCGGAUGGAGCGGCGCGGGGGCGCAGGUUCACCUCGCCGCGCGGAGACCUGCCGAGUGAGCCGGGCCCCACGGAAGAGUGAGGAGGUCUGUCCUGGCAAGUCUGAGAACAGGGCGAAGGUGGGAUCCCGCUGCGGGCGAGGGUCCCUGACCUUGGGUGCGGUGCGGAGGCCGAGGAACGCGCAGGGACCACGGGGCGGGCUGAGGAGCCUGCGGCCAGCGCGGGGGCAGGGGCCGUUUCCUCCUCACGUGCUGUUAAACGGGGGUGAACACGUCUGAAAGAUUCAGGCAGAAGAUCAAUGACUUUACACCGAUCUGUUGAAAUCAACUUUGAUCGUUUUAAUUUCUCCCCUAAAAGAACAAAUGAAAAAAUAAUCUUCCCCGCCUAAGCGCGAAAGCGUCUGAGCUCGAGCUGCCGCACAGCUGCAGGCCCCGCUCCGCGUGCGCACCGCGAAUGCCAGGAACAGCAGGCGGGAGAGCAAAGCCUCCCAGGACCGCCGGCCGGCUGGAAGUGCUGCAGCGUCCGGGGCUGCUUCUGAAAGGCGACGCGGAGUGCGUUUCCGGCUCCAGCAAUAGCGAUCAGUUUGCCUGUGGAAAAUCAGUACCCUACCUUUCGCUUCCUCGCCUGAGAAAUAAAGUACGAACGCAGCUGUAAACCCAAAAAUAAUUUUUUAAGAAACUGAACUAAAGUUAGAGUCCAGCCCUUUUAGAGGACCUAGCGGGAUUACAGCGCACCUUAACCCCUUUCCCAAGAAUGCAAAACGCCCCGCUCUUUGUCGCUGAUCUAGGUGGGCACUUGGGCGGCGAGCCUUGCAGUGUGACUUCACCCGGGCGAGGGGGCCCGCUGCCCGCCA
rnacentral:lncRNA from 1 species